ACUGAACUCUGGUGCACACUGGAUCCUUGUGGUUGUCAAAAUCUCCUCACAAUCUGUACUGCUGUUAGACCCUCUUGGAAAUGAAGGUUGUUAUGAAAGGAAAGUUAUGCGUAACUGGAGGAAUUUUCUGA